GCACCAUGGCCGGGAUCACCACCAUCCAGGCGGUGAAGCGCAAGAUCCAGGUUCUGCAGCAGCAAGCGGAUGAUGCCGAAGAGAGGGCUGAGCGCCUCCAGCGGGAAGUUGAGGGAGAAAGGUGGGCCCGGGAACAGGCUGAGGCUGAGGUAGCCUCCUUGAACCGAAGGAUCCAACUGGUUGAAGAGGAGCUGGACCGUGCUCAGGAGCGCCUUGCUAUUGCCCUGCAAAAGCUGGAGGAAGCAGAAAAAGCUGCUGAUGAGAGUGAGAGAGGUGUGAAGGUUAUUGAAAACCGGGCCCUAAAAGAUGAAGAAAAGAUGGAACUCCUGGAAAUCCAACUCAAAGAAGCUAAGCACAUUGCAGAAGAAGCAGAUAGGAAGUAUGAAGAGGUGGCUCCUAAGUUAGUGAUUAUUGAAGGAGACUUGGAACGCACAGAGGAACGAGCUGAGCUGGCAGAGUCCCGUUGCCGAGAGAUGGAUGAGCAGAUCAGACUGAUGGACCAGAAC